GCGGGAAAUAAACACGUUUAUUUUUGUUUGUUUGUUAAAGUGUGGUAGAUUUGUAGAUUAAUAGUAAAGCUUUGUAGUAGGUACAAGUAACGGCUAUUUGUAUAUCGGCUGACCUGAUAUUUCGGAGCUUCAAAUUCUUUAGAAUAAAAUCUAAAAAAUGUGCUUCCAAAAUGGAAAUUGUUACUAUAUUAACAAUUACAUUUUUAUAGUUUUAAGCAUGGAACUGGUUCCAAGCACUUACCCAAGAAUGGAUCUUCCAGUAGUUCCUCAGCAGUUGAUCUUUUAUCAGGAUCGGACUCAAAACAUCUCAAAAUGAACUUGGUGGCUUUAUCCGAGAGAGCAGGAAUUUCCGGAUGUGCUUUAUGGCAACCUACCUUUGAAUCGAAAUUAAUACCGUGUGAAUCUCACAUUUAUACAGUUCUGAAUCAAUUACACUAGAUAUAAGGCAGAAAAAAUAUUUAUUUACUUUAAAUAAAGCAGCUUGUGCAGA